GUGGGGAAUCUUGCGCAAUGGGCGAAAGCCUGACGCAGCCAUGCCGCGUGAAUGAUGAAGGUCUUAGGAUUGUAAAAUUCUUUCACCGGGGACGAUAAUGACGGUACCCGGAGAAGAAGCUCCGGCUAACUUCGUGCCAGCAGCCGCGGUAAUACGAAGGGGGCUAGCGUUGCUCGGAAUUACUGGGCGUAAAGGGCGCGUAGGCGGACAGCUUAGUCAGAGGUGAAAGCCCAGGGCUCAACCUUGGAAUUGCCUUUGAUACUGGCUGUCUUGAGUUUGGGAGAGGUGAGUGGAACUCCGAGUGUAGAGGUGAAAUUCGUAGAUAUUCGGAAGAGCACCAGUGGCGAAGGCGACUCACUGGCCCAAUACUGACGCUGAGGCGCGAAAGCGUGGGGAGCAAACAGGAUUAGAUACCCUGGUAGUCC
rnacentral:rRNA from 1 species